CUGAAAUAAAUGCUUUACACAAGGAAUAACUUUCCUUGUAAGUAGCAAUUCCCCUUCAUCAAUGUUAUAACAUCCUGGAGUGUAGUUUUUAAAACAUGAAAAGCAUUUCCUGGACAACAUCUUUCCCAUACAAAGCAGAACUGUGUUUCCCAGACCUGCUGGAGACCUAGCAAAACAGGGUGUCUCAGUGCUCUUCCAAAAUUGCUUAGAUUUCAUUUGUAUUAACUUCUGCAUUGUGCCAUAAAACUGAUAGUGCUGCAAAUAUUUUUUAAGCAGAGGCUGUAAAAUCUUGAUCAUAAAGUACCUAUAUAAGUUGACCUAUAUAAAAGAAACAGUCUUUCAAAUUUGUAUUUCCAUUGCCAUACAGACCUUAACUGAAGCCACACUUUAAUAUAAAAUGAGUUAAAAUCAAAUAUUUGAUAUUCAGUUUGCUGUAAAAAUGAAGAUCAGACGCCACCAAUAUGAACUU